rnacentral:rRNA from 1 species
GGGUUGUGAGGUUAAGCGACUAAGCGUACACGGUGGAUGCCCUGGCAGUCAGAGGCGAUGAAGGACGUGCUAAUCUGCGAUAAGCGUCGGUAAGGUGAUAUGAACCGUUAUAACCGGCGAUUUCCGAAUGGGGAAACCCAGUGUGUUUCGACACACUAUCAUUAACUGAAUCCAUAGGUUAAUGAGGCGAACCGGGGGAACUGAAACAUCUAAGUACCCCGAGGAAAAGAAAUCAACCGAGAUUCCCCCAGUAGCGGCGAGCGAACGGGGAGCAGCCCAGAGCCUGAAUCAGUGUGUGUGUUAGUGGAAGCGUCUGGAAAGGCGCGCGAUACAGGGUGACAGCCCCGUACACAAAAAUGCACAUAUUGUGAGCUCGAUGAGUAGGGCGGGACACGUGGUAUCCUGUCUGAAUAUGGGGGGACCAUCCUCCAAGGCUAAAUACUCCUGACUGACCGAUAGUGAACCAGUACCGUGAGGGAAAGGCGAAAAGAACCCCGGCGAGGGGAGUGAAAAAGAACCUGAAACCGUGUACGUACAAGCAGUGGGAGCCUCUUUUAUGGGGUGACUGCGUACCUUUUGUAUAAUGGGUCAGCGACUUAUAUUCUGUAGCAAGGUUAACCGAAUAGGGGAGCCGAAGGGAAACCGAGUCUUAACUGGGCGUUAAGUUGCAGGGUAUAGACCCGAAACCCGGUGAUCUAGCCAUGGGCAGGUUGAAGGUUGGGUAACACUAACUGGAGGACCGAACCGACUAAUGUUGAAAAAUUAGCGGAUGACUUGUGGCUGGGGGUGAAAGGCCAAUCAAACCGGGAGAUAGCUGGUUCUCCCCGAAAGCUAUUUAGGUAGCGCCUCGUGAAUUCAUCUCCGGGGGUAGAGCACUGUUUCGGCAAGGGGGUCAUCCCGACUUACCAACCCGAUGCAAACUGCGAAUACCGGAGAAUGUUAUCACGGGAGACACACGGCGGGUGCUAACGUCCGUCGUGAAGAGGGAAACAACCCAGACCGCCAGCUAAGGUCCCAAAGUCAUGGUUAAGUGGGAAACGAUGUGGGAAGGCCCAGACAGCCAGGAUGUUGGCUUAGAAGCAGCCAUCAUUUAAAGAAAGCGUAAUAGCUCACUGGUCGAGUCGGCCUGCGCGGAAGAUGUAACGGGGCUAAACCAUGCACCGAAGCUGCGGCAGCGACGCUUAUGCGUUGUUGGGUAGGGGAGCGUUCUGUAAGCCUGUGAAGGUGUGCUGUGAGGCAUGCUGGAGGUAUCAGAAGUGCGAAUGCUGACAUAAGUAACGAUAAAGCGGGUGAAAAGCCCGCUCGCCGGAAGACCAAGGGUUCCUGUCCAACGUUAAUCGGGGCAGGGUGAGUCGACCCCUAAGGCGAGGCCGAAAGGCGUAGUCGAUGGGAAACAGGUUAAUAUUCCUGUACUUGGUGUUACUGCGAAGGGGGGACGGAGAAGGCUAUGUUGGCCGGGCGACGGUUGUCCCGGUUUAAGCGUGUAGGCUGGUUUUCCAGGCAAAUCCGGAAAAUCAAGGCUGAGGCGUGAUGACGAGGCACUACGGUGCUGAAGCAACAAAUGCCCUGCUUCCAGGAAAAGCCUCUAAGCAUCAGGUAACAUCAAAUCGUACCCCAAACCGACACAGGUGGUCAGGUAGAGAAUACCAAGGCGCUUGAGAGAACUCGGGUGAAGGAACUAGGCAAAAUGGUGCCGUAACUUCGGGAGAAGGCACGCUGAUAUGUAGGUGAAGUCCCUUGCGGAUGGAGCUGAAAUCAGUCGAAGAUACCAGCUGGCUGCAACUGUUUAUUAAAAACACAGCACUGUGCAAACACGAAAGUGGACGUAUACGGUGUGACGCCUGCCCGGUGCCGGAAGGUUAAUUGAUGGGGUCAGCGCAAGCGAAGCUCUUGAUCGAAGCCCCGGUAAACGGCGGCCGUAACUAUAACGGUCCUAAGGUAGCGAAAUUCCUUGUCGGGUAAGUUCCGACCUGCACGAAUGGCGUAAUGAUGGCCAGGCUGUCUCCACCCGAGACUCAGUGAAAUUGAACUCGCUGUGAAGAUGCAGUGUACCCGCGGCAAGACGGAAAGACCCCGUGAACCUUUACUAUAGCUUGACACUGAACAUUGAGCCUUGAUGUGUAGGAUAGGUGGGAGGCUUUGAAGUGUGGACGCCAGUCUGCAUGGAGCCGACCUUGAAAUACCACCCUUUAAUGUUUGAUGUUCUAACGUGGACCCGUGAUCCGGGUUGCGGACAGUGUCUGGUGGGUAGUUUGACUGGGGCGGUCUCCUCCUAAAGAGUAACGGAGGAGCACGAAGGUUGGCUAAUCCUGGUCGGACAUCAGGAGGUUAGUGCAAUGGCAUAAGCCAGCUUGACUGCGAGCGUGACGGCGCGAGCAGGUGCGAAAGCAGGUCAUAGUGAUCCGGUGGUUCUGAAUGGAAGGGCCAUCGCUCAACGGAUAAAAGGUACUCCGGGGAUAACAGGCUGAUACCGCCCAAGAGUUCAUAUCGACGGCGGUGUUUGGCACCUCGAUGUCGGCUCAUCACAUCCUGGGGCUGAAGUAGGUCCCAAGGGUAUGGCUGUUCGCCAUUUAAAGUGGUACGCGAGCUGGGUUUAGAACGUCGUGAGACAGUUCGGUCCCUAUCUGCCGUGGGCGCUGGAGAACUGAGGGGGGCUGCUCCUAGUACGAGAGGACCGGAGUGGACGCAUCACUGGUGUUCGGGUUGUCAUGCCAAUGGCACUGCCCGGUAGCUAAAUGCGGAAGAGAUAAGUGCUGAAAGCAUCUAAGCACGAAACUUGCCCCGAGAUGAGUUCUCCCUGACCCUUUAAGGGUCCUGAAGGAACGUUGAAGACGACGACGUUGAUAGGCCGGGUGUGUAAGCGCAGCGAUGCGUUGAGCUAACCGGUACUAAUGAACCGUGAGGCUUAACCUUACAACGCCGAAGGUGUUU